rfam:Triticum aestivum genome assembly, contig: Triticum_aestivum_CS42_TGACv1_scaffold_099158_2AL
CUUGUACUCCCUCCGUCCGAAAAUACUUGUCAUUCAAAUGGAUGUAUCUAGAUGUAUUUUAGUUCUAGACACAUCCAUUUUGAUGACAAGUAAUUCCGGACGGAGGGAGUACUUG